UGGAAAGAAGUAAUGAUCCUCAUCCUAGAAGCCAACAGUAAGAAUCCUGGCCUGAGUCAGCCAAGGGCUACGGUAUGGCUAUGAAAAUGGAAAAGGAAUGUUUUUGAGGUCAAAUGCAUUCAUCUUGGGCUAAAGAAUUUGAAAAUUGAAAUCUUGGCAGAGGUUGACUUAUCGGUAAAAACACUCCAUCUGAGUAACCCCAAGUGACUGAAGACUUCAGUUCUCACUGCAAACUUUUUAAAAGGAAAUUGUUAUACCAUACUUGCUAAAUUUUAAAAAGACUUAUUCUGAUACCUAGAUAAA